GUGUUUCGAGUAAUCAAAUAAUUUGAAGUGAAAAUUUUCAUUCAAAGCUUGAACAACUUAAAACUGUCUUAUGGUCUGAGAAUGUUAUAGAGAAUGAUUUGCUUUCCCAAACUGAUGUCUCCACCAGAUGUCGAUACAAUACUACUGUCAUCGCGUAUAAUGCUUGUCCGGUCACCGGACAUUGCAGUCGCAGUAGACCGCUGCAUCACGGCGCCGUAAAGAGUAACGACCUGUGCUGUGGGACAAAUUCGGUGAUCCAAGUUUCUGGUCAAUGUGAAGCAAUGGUCAAAGAUGCACAAUGUCAUCAUGGAACAUAUUGACACGGACUGUGUUAUCAACGUUGUGUCCUUCGACAAAUAGAGCGAGUCCUACAAUUAACUUUCGUUAAUUAAACAACAACCCUUUUUUGAAAUCACUGUCGAACAAAUCUCCAACUGGUUCAUCAAGGAGCAGAUUUUAAGCGAGAAGUUUGACCUGACCUGGAACGCGAUUGACGACGAGGUGGCCGAGGUUCGGCUCAAAGGACUCAAGUCCAAACUGUCCGAUAUGUGUUCGGUGAUCAAGAUAUUUCCCUGCCCGACGCUGAGCCAUCGGUUCUGUCGGAACGAAAUUACCCAGCAUAUCUGAUUCGGUCAUUCUUUGCCCAGGAUCCGCGUAACAAAUAGCUGUAUGUUGAUGCGAAAUGCGCUCGAGAAGCUGCUUCUGCCCCAGGAGUACGUGCUUGAGGAAUUGCGGCUACGGAAUGCUGAGCGCGUGUCUGAACUAGGAUCUGCGGAAGCAGCAAUGAAAUAAUGUUUGAAGGAAAAUUAUGAUGUUAUUUUAUUUCAAGAUAAUCACAUGCUAGAGGCGAAUGAACUGAGAAGUUUAAACCCUCUUAAAGCCAAAAAGAAGAAGAAGCAAGAU